CGGGAAGAAUAAGUAAGAGCUAACAUCUCUUACGAUGACGGUACUGUUUGUAAGCUCCGGCUAACUCCGUGCCAGCAGCCGCGGUAAUACGGGGGGAGCAAGCGUUGUUCGGAUUUACUGGGCGUAAAGGGCGCGUAGGCGGCCACCGCAAGUCGACUGUGAAAUCUCCGGGCUUAACCCGGAAAGGUCAGCCGAUACUGCGGGGCUAGAGUGCAGAAGGGGCAACUGGAAUUCUCGGUGUAGCGGUGAAAUGCGUAGAUAUCGAGAGGAACACCUGCGGCGAAGGCGGGUUGCUGGGCUGACACUGACGCUGAGGCGCGAAAGCUAGGGGAGCGAACGGGAUUAGAUACCCCGGUAGUCCUAGCCUUAAACGAUGAAUGCUUGGUGUCUGGGGUUUUAUAGUCCCCGGGUGCCGUCGCUAACGCUUUAAGCAUUCCGCCUGGGGAGUACGGUCGCAAGACUGAAACUCAAAGGAAUUGACGGGGACCCGCACAAGCGGUGGAGCAUGUGGUUUAAUUCGACGCAACGCGAAGAACCUUACCUGGGCUAGAAUGCCUCUGACCGGCGUAGAGAUACGCCUUCCUGGGUAAAACCAGGCAGAGUGCAAGGUGCUGCAUGGC
rnacentral:rRNA from 1 species